AGUGAACGCUGGCGGUAGGCCUAACACAUGCAAGUCGAACGGCAGCACAGUAAGAGCUUGCUCUUACGGGUGGCGAGUGGCGGACGGGUGAGGAAUACAUCGGAAUCUACUUUUUCGUGGGGGAUAACGUAGGGAAACUUACGCUAAUACCGCAUACGACCUACGGGUGAAAGCAGGGGAUCUUCGGACCUUGCGCGAUUGAAUGAGCCGAUGUCGGAUUAGCUAGUUGGCGGGGUAAAGGCCCACCAAGGCGACGAUCCGUAGCUGGUCUGAGAGGAUGAUCAGCCACACUGGAACUGAGACACGGUCCAGACUCCUACGGGAGGCAGCAGUGGGGAAUCUUGGACAAUGGGCGCAAGCCUGAUGCAGCCAUACCGCGUGGGUGAAGAAGGCCUUCGGGUUGUAAAGCCCUUUUGUUGGGAAAGAAAAGCAGCAGGUUAAUACCCCGCUGUUCUGACGGUACCCAAAGAAUAAGCACCGGCUAACUUCGUG
rnacentral:rRNA from 1 species